GCCAGGUGUGGUGGCGAGUGCCUGUAAUCCCAGCUGCUUGGGAGGCUGAGGCAGGAGAAUUGCUUGAACCCAGGAGGCAGAGGUUGCAGUGAGCCGAGAUUGUGCCACUGCACUCCAUCCUGGGCAAGAGAGUAAGAUCCUGUCUCAA
rnacentral:SRP_RNA from 1 species